rnacentral:lncRNA from 1 species
UGACAUCUGUUGAUAUAGGAACCGGGUGCCUUCUUUACGGGUCAUUGUUGGAUGACAUUGGCAUUGAUUUGCCAAAAGCGCCAACUAAUUUUGGUGAGAUUCUUGGGAAAUUGGCUGUGGCGAAGGUGUUGGACUUCAAGGUUGUGAUGCAAAUUCUCAAGAAGGUGGAAGAUGACAUGUUCCGGACAGCCAUCUUUGGGACUGCUAAGAAGAGCAUUGCGUCCAGCCCUUCCGGGCAGGAAUUUUUGCUUGCCCAGGAAACCGAGGUCCAGGCAUGUGAGAGUUUGCUUACCUGAUUUAUGCUAGUUUCAGUCGACGU